GAUGAGCCCGCGUUGGAUUAGCUAGUUGGUGGGGUAAAGGCCUACCAAGGCGACGAUCCAUGGCUGGUCUGAGAGGAUGAUCAGCCACAUUGGGACUGAGACACGGCCCAAACUCCUACGGGAGGCAGCAGUGGGGAAUAUUGGACAAUGGGCGCAAGCCUGAUCCAGCCAUGCCGCGUGAGUGAUGAAGGUCUUAGGAUUGUAAAGCUCUUUCACCGGGGACGAUAAUGACGGUACCCGGAGAAGAAGCCCCGGCUAACUUCGUGCCAGCAGCCGCGGUAAUACGAAGGGGGCUAGCGUUGUUCGGAAUUACUGGGCGUAAAGCGCACGUAGGCGGAUAUUUAAGUCAGGGGUGAAAUCCCGGGGCUCAACCCCGGAACUGCCUUUGAUACUGGGUAUCUUGAGUGUGGUAGAGGUGAGUGGAAUUGCGAGUGUAGAGGUGAAAUUCGUAGAUAUUCGCAGGAACACCAGUGGCGAAGGCGGCUCACUGGACCACAACUGACGCUCAGGUGCGAAAGCGUGGGGAGCAAACAGGAUUAGAUACCCUGGUAGUCCACGCC
rnacentral:rRNA from 1 species